CACGUGGGCGCCGCGCGCUCCGACACGCCCCCUUUCGUGCCCAGGAACUGAAGGGAAGAGAGGACCUGAUUUAGGUAUUGCAUAGAUUGGUUACAUUUCCUGAUCUUGGAGAAGUGGGUUUAUGCAGGAGAUGUCCUAUGGGGUCCAGCAGCACACACCCUUCUGAUCCCUUGAGCUAUGUGCUCUAGGAGCACCCCCUGUGUGCCCUUCUGAUGUGGUGGAGCCAACUACUAUGGACACACUGUUCUGGAGGCUGGGAAGUCCAGGAUCAAGGCUCCGGCAGAUUCAUUGUCUGGUGAGACAGACAUGGAAGACAUUAACUUCCUGGUUUGUAGAUGGCCAUCUUUUUUUGCUGUAUCCUCACACAGAGAAAGAGGAGUACUUUUCUGAAUCACAGAGGGACACUGCGCAGUGAAGAUGGACUUCAUCGUAAUCCCCAAUGAACUUAAAGACGGUGACGUGGAAGCGACAGGUGAGGGAGACACCGUUUUCCUCGAUGCCAAUGGUGUUGUCUUUAAUGUUCUGACACCUAUUCGGAAAAAAGGGACUCUCUGCUUCACACUUUCACGUUUCAUACAAAAACCAUCAUGAACGGUAAAAAUGCCUUUGCGUUUGAAGGUGACCUGUGGAGUGUGUGGGUCUGUCAUUUACUACGACUCCCUUAUAGUUUCAGUUUGUUGGAAAAGCAUCAAAUAGCACCUCAAAUUAGGAUCUUAACUACAGCUAAAAACAAAAUGACCACGGGCCUGCACUCAAUUUCCCUACCCGCCCGUUUCUCAUUCCUCCCCCUCACAAUGCUGUGUUUUACUGAUAUCAGUUUAAUAAACACAAGAUGAGUCCUUA